GGCUACACACGCUAUCCUUAGCCUCCUGGGAGGCAUACGAAUAACCGGCACCUGUGGCUAGCAUUGCUUACUGUGACUGGCCUAUCGAGGCAAUCCUUGCCCCUGUUCUCUUGAACUGCCUUAAAGAUCAAGAUUAAUGCUGUUCCAACACUCUAAUCUUACAUUUGUUGAAUGCAGUCAUGCUAUGAGCAAAUUGCAAAUUCUACAUAUAAUUGUUUCCAAAUAUUGGCCCUGCCGCCUUUGUACGUCACUCAAUUCUUUUUUGGGUUUACAAAUUUAACUCCUUGCUAGCCCUUGCUAUACAUCUCUCUAUCCAGAGAGUACCAAGCCAAGUUAUUCUAGAGCUAAUUUUUCUGUAUUGUCCUUUUUAUAGCACAUUGACCUCACUAAGUCCUUUGAGGAAGCGCUCAGAUACAGCGCGAAACAUGUCAGGACUCCGAUCAACCCAGCGCAAGUGCUAAAAUCUCCAGUUGCUGAUGACUUUCCUUAGAAGCCUUUGUACUUAUUUAUGGUUUAAACUAUCAGUCCGUAUUAGGACAUCUAGUCUAGUGUUAUAUAUUUGGUGCUAGUGUUGUA